rnacentral:rRNA from 1 species
UACGGAGGGGGCUAGCGUUGUUCGGAAUUACUGGGCGUAAAGCGCGCGUAGGCGGAUCUGCAAGUCGGGGGUGAAAUCCCGGGGCUCAACCUCGGAACUGCCUUCGAUACUGCGGGUCUCGAGUCCGGGAGAGGUGAGUGGAAUUCCUAGUGUAGAGGUGAAAUUCGUAGAUAUUAGGAAGAACACCAGUGGCGAAGGCGGCUCACUGGCCCGGUACUGACGCUGAGGCGCGAAAGCGUGGGGAGCAAACAGG